GAUAAACGCUGGCGGCGCACAUAAGACAUGCAAGUCGAACGGAGAUAUGAAGCGAGCGGGAAGUGCUUGCACAGAACAAUCAUUUCAUAACUUAGUGGCGGACGGGUGAGUAACGCGUGGGUAACCUGCCUUAUACCGGGGGAUAACACUUAGAAAUAGGUGCUAAUACCGCAUAAGCGCACAGUAUCGCAUGAUACAGUGUGAAAAACUCCGGUGGUAUAAGAUGGACCCGCGUCUGAUUAGCUUGUUGGCGGGGUAACGGCCCACCAAGGCGACGAUCAGUAGCCGGCCUGAGAGGGUGAACGGCCACAUUGGGACUGAGACACGGCCCAA
rnacentral:rRNA from 1 species